rnacentral:lncRNA from 1 species
CCCCCAGUCCGGGUUUCCCCCGCUGCCGGGGGAGAUUCCCCCCAAAAACCCCCAAAAGGCUCCAAAUUGUGCCCAAAUUCCGCUUUAUUGGGACUUUCCGCAAUAAAUUAUCCCGGCGGUCAAUAAAUUACCGGCCCCGCCCCGGGACCGGCGGCUUCCGGGCCGGGGGGACGCCAUAAAUACACAAAACUUUAUAAAAACCGCUACAAAAGUAUCAAAAAUAUCUCUGAAAUCCAUAAAUAAAACAAUAAAUAAAAGCGGCUUCUCCCAGCCCGUCCUGGCCGAGCUCGGCUCAUUCCCCGGGUCCCGGUUCUGGUCCCGGUUCUGGUCUGGACCGGUCCCGGUUCUGGUCCCGGUUCCAUUCCCGGUUCUGGUCCCGGUUCCGGUCCCGGUUCCAUUCCAGACCGGU